rnacentral:lncRNA from 1 species
UUCUAUGUACACCAUGAACAGAAGAUAGCAGUGGUCAAAAUAAACAAGCAGUCCCUCGUGGAGCUUGCAUUCCAGUCAGGUAGACGGACAAUAAUGAGGAGGUGAAUACAUAGCAGUUUGGAUGAUGGGAGGUGGAAGGGAGACGGGGAGGAAGAUCGAAGUUUGCUCUUUCAAUGGGGAGGUGAGGGAUGCCAUCUUUAAUAAAGUGACUUUUGAGCAAAGACCAAAGGAAGUGAAGAAAUAAGCCACACAACCGUCUCAAGGGAGAAUUCCAGGCAAGAGAAAGUUAAUUGCCAAGGCCCUGAAGUCACAGUAUGUUUGGUUUGUUCAAGGAAAAGCUAAGAGGCCAGUGUGGUGAGAUCUGGGAGGAUGGUAGCAAGAGAAGUCAAGGUCCUAUUGGGUCAAGAUCUUGGGGGCCCUUGGGGGCCAUUGGAAGGAUUUUGGCUUUUGGCCUAAGAUGGGGAGUCAUGGGAGGGUUUGAACAGAGAUGGGGGAUGGUCUGACCCAAGUGUUGCAAAGAACCUUCUGGCUACUUUGGAAGAGAAUAUGGGGCAAGUUUGGAAACCAGGAGCCCGGUAAAGAGUCUGGUGAGGUCUUCUGGGGGGAGGAGGAUGGUGGCUUGUAUAAACGUGGUAAGGGGCAGGUUUUGUUUUUGAUUUGAUUUGAUUUGAUUUUUAGGACCACAUCCCACAUUAUAUGGAGGUUCCCAGGCUAGGGCUCGAAUCAGAGCUGUAGCUGCCAGCCUAUACCACAGCCACAGCAACACAGGAUCCUUAACCCACUGAGCAAGGCCAGGGAUAGAACAUGCAUCCUCUUGAAUGCCAGUCAGAUUUGUUAACUGCUGAGCCACAGUGGGAACUCCAAGGGUCGGGUUUUGGAUCUGACUAGAAGAAAGAACUGUCAGAUUUGCUGCUCCAUCCAGUUUGGAAGCUUGAGAGAAAGAGGUCAAGACUAAUACUAAGGUUUUGGGCCCAUUCCAUACUCUGCCAUCUGCCUCAUUCAACAGUGAAGGAAGGAGUUCCCCAUUGUGGUGAAUCGGUAAUGAAUCCCACUGGUAUCCAUAAGAAUGUGGUUUUGAUCCCUGGCCUCACUCAGUGGGUUAAGGAUCCGGCAUUGCUGUGGGUUUUGGUGUAGGUCGCAGAUGCGGCUCAGAUCCCAUGUUGCUAUGGCUGUGGUGUAGGCUGGCAGCUGUAGCUCCAAUUGGACCCCUAGCCUGGGAACUUCCACAUGCCAUGGGAGCAGCCCUAGAAAAAGCAAAAAAAUAAAACAAACAAAAAAGUUUUCUUCAUAAAUUCUUCCAACUUUGCUGAAUGCCUAAACAUUUUCAUAAUAAAAUAUUGGAAAAUUAUAAAAGUAAUUAAUAAAUUCUUUUUUUGUUGUUGUUGUUUUGGCCAUGGCACACGGGAUUCCCAGGCCAGGGGUCAGAUCUGAGUCGCACUGCCUUAGAUGCAGCAACACCAGGUCCCCAACACACUGUGCUGGGCCAGGGAUCCAACCUAAAUCCCAGUGUUCCCAAGAAGAUGCCGAUCCUGUUGUGCCACAGUGGGAACGCCAAUGAAUUCUUAUGUGGUCAUCUUGGACACUUUUAUAGUAACUCUUAAAACUGAAAAUAUCUAUACUUAGGAGGAAGCAGGUAGGGGAAUAUUCCUGGCAGCCAGGAUUGCGAUGGGGAAAAGUUGUAAACAAACACAUUGUCCUUGAACAGGAUAAACUGCUUGAUGAUUGACAGUUCAUUGAUACUGUGGCAUUCUAUAAAGCAGUUUCAAAAGGGUGACAAAGGGUCAUAUGAGCUAGUGUGGCUGUUUUUCCUUGGAUUGACCAAGGAAAGGGGGAAACUUUACACACACAGAACACACCAGGGCCUUCACCCUACUCUGGGACUUUGUGUUUUGUUCUGAGAGCAACCUGUGUAAGAGUUCUAAGCAGAGGCAUGAGGGUUAGUGAGGUAGGGGGACUAAUGCAUUAUAAUUCAAGAGGAUCCCUAGGCACCUGCCUGGGAAGAGCAGACAGGACCUACAGGUGGCAACCCUGGGACCUGGAUGGUGGGUGGAGGUGGACGGAGGUCUCCUGAGACCCCAGAAUGGAGCUGGAGUGGGUACUAGGGCCUGGAACUUGCAAAAGGUGAACAAGGUAUGGUUCCUGGGCAUCCCCAGUGUGCUGUCCCCAUUACCUCCACUGGCUCAACUGAUGUUUCUUCAGGGAGAACUCAAGGCUGAAGUCUGUGCUGCUGGGCCUGAGGAUGGACAUAAGGAUGGCCAUCAUCCCUUUCAGUCCUCACCAGCCCCUGCUGCCCAGAUGGGGGAAGUGAACUCAGACAGGUGAGCUCCCAAGGUCAGAUGACAACUGGCAGAAGUGAGACUUUUUCUCUUUGUUUGCCUUUUUAGGGAUGUACCCACAGCAUAUGGAGGGUCCCAGGCUAGGGGUUGAUCGGAGCUGCAGCUACCAGGCCUACGCCACAGCCACAGCAGUACCAGAUCCGAGCCUUGUCUGUGACCGAUACCAUAGCUCAUGGCAACGCUGGAUCUUUAACCUACUGAGCGAGGCCAGGGAUCGAACACACAUCCUUAUGGAUACCAGUCGGAUUUGUCACUGCUGAGGCACGACGGGAACUUCCGGAAAUGAUACUUUUUCAAAGCGCUUCUUUACAGUAGAAACCUAUCAGGUGUGAAUGAAUCAAAGUUUAUGUAACCUCAUUUCAUGGUCAUUGCAAAAUUUGGAAGGCCUUGGGGCACUUUCUAAAGUGUAAGGCAUACAAUGAUGAUCUGUUUUUAAGGCUCAGGAGAAAGCCAUCAGUGGAGUUCCCAUUGUGGCUCAGCCCUAAUGACCCUGACUAGUAUCCAUGAGGAUGUGGGCUCUAUCCCUGCCCUCACCUGCUGGGUUAAGGAUCUGGUGUUGCUGUGAGUUGUGUAGGUCGCAGAUGUGGCUCUGAUUCAACUCCUAGCCUGGGAUCUUCCAUAUGCCUCAGGUGUGGACCUAAGAAGAAAAAAAAAAAGCCGUCAGUGAUUCAGGCCUAGGCCCCAAGUCAAAUGCCACAAAAACAAAUUGCAAACAAUUCUGGGUGAAGCCUCUUCUCACAAGGGCCACUCUGAAGGAUGUGUUUUAGGGCAGUGGGCCGUAGGGCUGUGUUUCCUUAAUCACGUCUUAUAUCUUUAGAAUUGAUGGUCUUGGGCAAUUCAAGGGAGGCAAGUUACUACUACUAAUAACAAUAAAUAACUUGAGCAUUCGUUCAUUUGAUGUCUGGCAAAAUGGGGAUAAAAUGUCUAGAUCCAGAGACUGUUACAGAAUGAAAAGAAGGCCUUCUUGUUUUCUGUGCCAGACACUAUGCAAAACGCUUCUUUCCUAAGUGAGCACAUUACUAACUCACCUGAUGAAAAUCCUCCAGUGUCUGAGUCUGAAGUUCCCCAUAACUCGGCCCCUCCCUUCUUCACUAGAUUCUGGCCUCCUCUCCACCGAGUCUCCAGCCUCGUGGGCCUCCUUUCAGUUCCUUGUGUGGACCCUGCUCCUGGUGCCCUAGGACCUUAGUGAGGGAUGGUACCUCUGUCCCAAACACAUUUCUUUUUUUCGCUUUUGAGGGCCGCACUCGUGGCAUACAGGGGUUCCCAGGCUAGGGGUCUAAUUGGAGCUGUAGCCGCGGACCUACACCAGAGCCACGGCAACACCAGAUCCGAGCCGUGCCUGCGACCUACACUACAGCUCAUGGCAAUGCCAGACCUUAACCCACUGAGCGAGGCCAGGGAUCGAACCUGCAACCUCAUGGUUCCUAGUUGGAUUUGUUUCCACUGCGCUAGGACGGGAACUCCCCCAAACACAGUUCCCUCCCGCCUGAGCCUCCUCACAGGCCGCCUCCCUGUCCCCUCAGAUCUCUGCUUGGCCAUCACUUUCUCUGGGCCUGUCACUGAAAACCCUUCCUCCUAUUAUAACCUGCUCUUGUCUUCUCAGCACAUAACUGUAACCUCAUAACUGUUCAUGAGAUAAAUUGAAUUAAU